GGUCCGGUUCCGGUGAAGUGGAUGGCCAUCGAGUCUCUAGAAGAUCACAUUUACACUACGAGGAGCGACGUGUGGGCAUUCGGUGUGGUGCUGUGGGAAAUCGUUACUCUAGGAGCAUCUCCUUAUCCGGGUAUCCUUCCCGAACGUCUCUUCCAUUUGUUGAAAGUCGGAUAUCGAAUGGAGAAACCCAAAUCUUGUU